GUCGCUCAACGGAUAAAAGGUACCUCGGGGAUAACAGGCUGAUCUUGCCCAAGAGUCCAUAUCGACGGCAUGGUUUGGCACCUCGAUGUCGGCUCGUCGCAUCCUGGGGCUGGAGUAGGUCCCAAGGGUUGGGCUGUUCGCCCAUUAAAGCGGUACGCGAGCUGGGUUUAGAACGUCGUGAGACAGUUCGGUCCCUAUCCGCUGCGCGCGAUAGGAAAUUUGAGAGGAUCUGACCCUAGUACGAGAGGACCGGGUUGGACGAACCUCUGGUGUGUCAGUUGUUCCGCCAGGAGCACCGCUGAUUAGCUACGUUCGGGAUGGAUAACCGCUGAAAGCAUCUAAGCGGGAAGCCGGCCUCAAGAUGAGAUUUCCAUACCUUCGGGUGAGAGGCUCCCAGCCAGACUACUGGGUUGAUAGGCCAGAUGUGGAAGUGCAGUAAUGCAUGCAGCUGACUGGUACUAAUAAGCCGAUGACUUGAUAACACACC
rnacentral:rRNA from 1 species